rnacentral:rRNA from 1 species
GAUGAACGCUGGCGGCGUGCCUAAUACAUGCAAGUCGAACGAGGUGCUUGAGUAGCAAUACGAGAGUAUCCUAGUGGCGAACGGGUGAGUAACGCGUGGAUGACCUGCCCCAAAGUGUGGGAUAACAGUCCGAAAGGAUUGCUAAUACCUCAUGUGGUUAUCGGUUUUAGAAAGCGAUAACUAAAGCAGCAAUGCGCUUUGGGAGGGAUCUGCGUCCCAUCAGCUAGUUGGUGAGGUAACGGCUCACCAAGGCGACGACGGGUAGGGGACCUGAGAGGGUGGCCCCCCACAAUGGAACUGAAACACGGUCCAUACACCUACGGGUGGCAGCAGUAGGGAAUAUUGCUCAAUGGGCGAAAGCCUGAAGCAGCAACGCCGCGUGUGCGAUG